AGAGUUUGAUGGUGGCUCAGGACGAACGCUGGCGGCGUGCUUAACACAUGCAAGUCGAACGAAGAGCGAUGGAAGCUUGCUUCUAUCAAUCUUAGUGGCGAACGGGUGAGUAACGCGUAAUCAACCUGCCCUUCAGAGGGGGACAACAGUUGGAAACGACUGCUAAUACCGCAUACGAUCCAAUCUCGGCAUCGAGACUGGAUGAAAGGUGGCCUCUAUUUAUAAGCUAUCACUGAAGGAGGGGAUUGCGUCUGAUUAGCUAGUUGGAGGGGUAACGGCCCACCAAGGCGAUGAUCAGUAGCCGGUCUGAGAGGAUGAACGGCCACAUUGGGACUGAGACACGGCCCA
rnacentral:rRNA from 1 species